rnacentral:misc_RNA from 1 species
GUGGAUAUUGAGCCAGAUGAGCAUGUGAAGAGGGCAAUGAAUGAGAUCAAUGCAGCUGCUAGAUUGAGGGUGGCUGCCAAUGAAAAAGCUGAAGCAGAGAAGAUUUUGCAGAUCAAGCGAGCUGAAGGAGAUGCAGAGUCAAAAUAUCUUGCAGGUCUUGGUAUUGCUAGACAGCGCCAGGCCAUUGUAGAUGGGCUGAGAGAUAGUGUUCUAGCUUUCUCUGAGAAUGUACCAGGGACAACUUCUAAGGAUGUCAUGGACAUGGUUCUAGUGACCCAAUACUU